GGGAGCGGAGGGGUCCCGGUGGACUUCGCGGACUUCAAAUCCGUCGGGGGGCAUCACGCCCCCGGUGGGUUCGACUCCCAUGCGCUCCCGCCA
rnacentral:tRNA from 1 species